ACUGACUUGUCCAUGUAAAAGAAUCAGUGUGUAGGAGCUGUGUGAGCCAUUUUGAAUGUUUUGGAUACCCUUGUGGUGCAUUGAAUUGCAGAAGUUCAUUGAAUAUUGAAGACUGAGAUUGAGAAAGAUCACUCGAAACGAACGCAG